rnacentral:lncRNA from 10 species
CAGAGGUACAGGCUUGGUUACAGGGCUUCGCGUUCCUUUCCAGCACAGGCCUGCUCUGGGCCGCCCUGCCUCCCCCAGAGGCUGCAGGGAGCCCCAAGCAGGCGCAUUGCGGGCUCUGCUCAGAGAGACGCCUCCACGGGUUAAUUCAGCGGCCUCUGUCUGGAAUUCAUGCACCACCUGGGCUGACAGCAUGAAUGACUCAUUGUUUCCCCUCUGAACAGGCUGAGGAGUGCUUCUUGGUGUCAAUAACUGAGGCAAAACAGAGUCCCGGCCAGGUGCGGUGGCUAACGCCUGUAAUCCCAGCACUUCGGGAGGCCAAGGCGGGCAGAUCACGAGGACAGGAGUUCAAGACCAGCCUGGCUAACAUGGUGAAACCCCAUCUCUACUAAAAAAAAAAU